GGGGGGAUAGCUCAGUUGGUAAAGUGCUUGCCUUGUAAGCAAAAGGCCCCGAGUUCAAUCCUCAGCACCUGCA
rnacentral:tRNA from 1 species